rnacentral:rRNA from 1 species
GAUGAACGCUGGCGGCGUGCCUAAUACAUGCAAGUCGAGCGAACAGACGAGGAGCUUGCUCCUCUGACGUUAGCGGCGGACGGGUGAGUAACACGUGGAUAACCUACCUAUAAGACUGGGAUAACUUCGGGAAACCGGAGCUAAUACCGGAUAAUAUAUUGAACCGCAUGGUUCAAUAGUGAAAGACGGUUUUGCUGCCACUUAUAGAUGGAUCCGCGCCGCAUUAGCUAGUUGGUAAGGUAACGGCUUACCAAGGCAACGAUGCGUAGCCGACCUGAGAGGGUGAUCGGCCACACUGGAACUGAGACACGGUCCAGACUCCUACGGGAGGCAGCAGUAGGGAAUCUUCCGCAAUGGGCGAAAGCCUGACGGUGCAACGCCGCGUGAGUGAUGAAGGUCUUCGGAUCGUAAAACUCUGUUAUUAGGGAAGAACAAAUGUGUAAGUAACUAUGCACGUCUUGACGGUACCUAAUCAGAAAGCCACGGCUAACUACGUG